GGGGGGCUGGGACCGGAGGGGGCGGGGGGCCUGGAGCCGAGCUGUGACAUCACCGCCGACACCGCGGUCUGCUCGGUGGGAGACGUGGGGAACCGACCCCGGGCUCGAACGCGGCGCCCCCUCCGCCAGCGCAGUCCCCGCGCCCCCCCCCCCCCCACCGCGGGGGUGAGUGACCGGGCGGCGCCCUGCCCACCCGCACUUGCCCAGAGGCCCCCUGCCCACCCGCACUUGCCGCGGAUCCCGCGCCGGGCCUUCCCCCAAGUGUGACCCCUUUCUAGUGAAAUCUCCGCCUGCCCCCAGCGCCCCCCCCCCCCCCCCGCCACCCGCGAGGCUGGCAGCACGAGCGCCUGGUCGCAGAGGGACAAAGACUCGGCUCCGUCGGGCACUGGAGGGGACCAGAGCAUCGCGCACAGCUCUUCUCGCAGGGAUGAUGCAACCGGCCGGCCGCCUCCCGCUUCUCCUCCCAUCAUGCCUUGGGUGGAGACCCCCACCCGCUGCCCGCCCCACUUCUCCAGGUCGUCAGCCCCCACGGUCCUCACACCCUGCCUCCGCAGCCUAACUUCCGUGGACCAGGUCACACGCUGCUGCCGGGCCACACGGGCAAACCCAGCCUGCGUCAACCUGUCCAGCGGCUUCCCAGGCCACCCAGACCGACUGGCAUCGCUGUUGCCACCGACCUCCACCGGCCACCCUAGGGGGUGGCACCUUUGACAGAGCCUCCAGCCAGCUCACCCACCGGAACUGCGGUGGGCGCAGUGACGUUAUGCCUUCGCGGAAGCGGGGUGCUCAGGUCCCUUUCCAGCCCAGCUCCUGGAAUAUGCAUCCUGCAUCCCCGUGGCUCAGCCUCCGCCAGCGCCCAGCAGGUGCAAGACGCUGCCCUGAAGGUUUUAGUUAACCGUUGAAUCCUCACCCCACUCAGUGAGGGCUGGGGGGCUUCGCCUCGAUUUGCACCAUCUGUGUGGCACAUUCCUCCAGAGUGACAAGGUGCCCAGGUCCCUUUCCAGCCCAGCUCCUGGAAUAUGCAUCCUGCCAAGGAGGCCACCCUCCCACCCCAUCCCCCAAAGCCCCCCCCCCCCAACUUUUCUUCUUUUCUUCUUUUAUUUCAUGGAACCACCUACAUAAAAGAGAAAUUCUUGUUUUUCCAAACUAUCUGGGCAGGGCAUGGGGGGGCUUUAUCAUUUCCAUUUUCAUCAUAUUUAUUGAUCUGGUCAAGUUCUCUAUUUCUUGAGCCAAAUUUCACAUGUUUCUAGGAACUGAUCAAUUUCC